UACGGAGGGUGCAAGCGUUGUCCGGAUUUACUGGGCGUAAAGGGCUCGUAGGCGGCCAACUAAGUCAGACGUGAAAUCCCUCGGCUUAACCGGGGAACUGCGUCUGAUACUGGAUGGCUUGAGUCCGGGAGAGGGAUGCGGAAUUCCAGGUGUAGCGGUGAAAUGCGUAGAUAUCAGGAGGAACACCGGUGGCGAAGGCGGGUCUCUGGGCCGAUACUGACGCUGAGGAGCGAAAGCGUGGGGAGCGAUCCGG
rnacentral:rRNA from 1 species